rnacentral:rRNA from 1 species
AGAGAGAGACAUGCGCGCAUAUCAAUAAGCGGAGGAAAAGAAACUAACAAGGAUUCCCUUAGUAACGGCGAGUGAAGCGGGAAGAGCUCAAAUUUGAAAUCUUCAAGGUUUUACCUUGACGAAUUGUAGUUUAAAGAAGUGUUUUCUGCUGAAGUUUUGGUAAAAGUUCUUUGGAAUAGGACAUCAUAGAGGGUGAGAAUCCCGUAUUUGACCAUUAUUUUCAGCUUUGUGAUACACUUUCAAAGAGUCGGAUUGUUUGGGAAUGCAGUCCAAAAUGGGUGGUAAAUUUCAUCUAAAGCUAAAUAUUGGCGAGAGACCGAUAGCGAACAAGUACCGUGAGGGAAAGAUGAAAAGAACUUUGAAAAGAGAGUUAAACAGUACGUGAAAUUGUCAAAAGGGAAGCGUUUGACACCAGUGUUGUUUUCUCGAAAAUCAAUUAAAAAUGGCUCGAUUUUGUAUUGCUGAGACCUUAAAAGCUCACUGUACAUUUUUCGUGUCUUUUUUAAUGCACUUUUCGUUUAACAAGUCAACAUCAGUUUCUUUUGUUGUAAAAGGGUCAUUGGAAGGUGGCUUUCUUUUCGGAGAAAGUGUUUAUAGCCUUUGGCCUCUGCAAUCGAAGAGAUUGAGGUCUGCAGCGUAGACUCUUCGGGGUUAGAUACAUUUGUGCUAAGUUAUAGCCUUUCAUAGACAACUUGUUGACUAUAAUCAGUCAUGUAGCUUACUCGCUUAUGCUAUUUUACCUACGCUUAGGAUGUUGAAGAUGUAGCACAUCAU